GACAGAGGGUGCAAACGUUGUUCGGAAUUACUGGGCGUAAAGCGUGUGUAGGCGGCCAUGUAAGUCGGAUGUGAAAGCCCCAGGCUCAACCUGGGAAGUGCACUCGAUACUGCGUGGCUUGAGUAUCGGAGAGGUUGGUGAAUUCUCGGUGUAGAGGUGAAAUUCGUAGAUAUCGAGAGGAACACCUGCGGCGAAGGCGGGUUGCUGGGCCGACACUGACGCUGAAGCGACGAAAGCUAGGGGAGCGAACGGG
rnacentral:rRNA from 1 species